AUGUACUGUUGUAAUGAACGCGUUGGCGCGCAGGAGGUAGCGAUCUUUAAAUCAAGGGAGUGGCAAUAGUUGUCAUGAUGCGGCAGCUGCAGUGAUCUCUCCUUCUCCGAAUAUUGGAUUAGAAAAAGUGGAUUUUCGAUUCGUGUGGCUAUUAGCGAUGAUUGUAUGAGAUUAUUCCUCGGGUUCCUGAGUGGCGCAGCGGUAUAAAGCACUGCAACUCUAGUGCUAGAGGCGUCAUUACAGACACCGCGUUUUGAUUCCAGGCUGUAUCACAACUGUCCGUGAUUGGGAGUCUCAUAGGGCGGCGCACAAUUGGCCCAACGUCGUCCGGGUUUGACCGGUGUAGGCCAUCAUUAGCGCUGUGUAUCUGUGGGAGAAUCAUCACACCCGGAGCAAGAGUGUGUGUGCUGCACGUGGUCGCUGGAUCGAGACACACUCCAAUGCUGAUGUUAGCCGACAUUCCCCUCAGGCCAGAGAAUGGAGCAUGCGUGGAGGCUGGCGUCAUCAUCCCCCCCCCCCCCCCCCCCCCCUCACAUACACACACUGAGUCAUUAUGUAAUAGUGUUGCAUGAAAACAUCAAGGAGACAGAGGAAAGAAGAGGAGAAUAAUAGAGUAUGUAAUCUACAUGUUCACUCUGAUGCACGCGCACACACACACAUAUAUAUGUCCCUAGAGUGACCACUAAAGCCUAGUAUCCACUUGUUUUUGACCUGAGCCACGCUAUAUUGAAAUUGCUCGUGAGCAUCCUGAUGAAAAUGCAGUCAUUUUAGGAUCUGCUUCUCAUCUUAUCUCAUCCUAUGAAUACUAUAACCCAGAUUUAACAUCAGACUGCCCUUCUAUCAACUGAUUAUGGCUUGUCCCAAAUGGCAUCCUAUCGACUAUAUGGGCCGGGGUCAAAAAUAAGUGCACUAUGUAGGGCAGGGGUACUCAACUCUUACCCCACGAGGUCCAGAGCCUGCUAGUUUUUUGUUCUACAUGAUAAUUAGUUGCACCAACCUGGCGUCAUAGGUCAAAAUUAGUACCUGAUUAGAGGGCAACAAUGAAAAAAAACUGUGGAACUGGCUUCGAGGUCCAGAGUUGAGUUUGAAGGAUAUAUGGAAUAGCGUGCCAUUUGGGACGCAACCUACAUCACAGUCAUAUUGGAACAGUCAUAUUUCAUGUUUAGUAGAUGGUAGAAUCGCUUAACGUUGGUUACGUAACUGUUGCCCUACCUUCCUAGGCUACGUGUAGUACGUAUGUCAUGGAUGGAGAGGAGAUGGGGGUUAUUGUGCUCCUGCCUGUCUGGAAGCUCGUAUCAUAGCAGGUUGUCUGCCCCACGUAGAACACUGAGAAAGGCUUUAGUUAAUAAUAAUGGAUAUAGCGCUUUUCUACCGAGGAACUCAAAGCACUUUACAUAGUAAGGGGAAAACUCACCUCCUCCACCACCAAUGUGCAGCUUCCGCCUGGGUGAUGCACGGCGACCAUUUAUGUGUCAGAACACUCACCACACAUCAGCUGAUAGAUGCCAAUUAGGAAUGAGAGGGAUGACGGAAUGGGGCCAGGUUGGGAAUUUAGUCAUGACACCGGGGUUAACACCUCUACUCUUACAAUAAAUGCCAUGGGAUUUUUAAUGACCACAGAGAGUCAGGGCCCACAUUUAUAGUCCCAUCUGAAAGACAGCACCCUACACACGGCAAUGUACCCUUCACUGCCCUGGGAUUUCCUUAGAUCGGAGGGAAGAGUGCCCCCUACUGGCCCUCCAACACCACUUCCAACAGCAUCUGGUCUCCCAUCCAGGACCAACCCUACUUAAAUUCAGAUGCAAGCCAGCAGUGGUAUGCAGGGUGGUAUGCUGCUGGCUUACCUCUAAAGCUAAGCAGGGUCGGCUGCUUUAGUGCUGAGGAUUUAGAACAUAGGCUACCACAGUGCACAACUUUUCUCUGAAGCGUUCAAAAGUUGGUGUAGACCAUAUUAUUGUUUCCAUCCCCACCCCCCCAAACAAAUCCCAAAGCCUUCCCUGUCUCUCUGAAUGGGUCAUCUUUUUUUUAGUUCAAAUUUAGUCAAGAGGAAAAGAGUGCAUUCUUUGGCCCCCAUUGUCCCCCAGAGACCCCUGAAUGAUAUGUCAUCCUCCCAUGAAAAUAUACAGAUUUGGUUUGGACCGACAGAUCACUUUCACCAACAGAUAAGUCCACAGGGACAGUGCAUGUGUAAGAGCCAGUGUAGCAGACGUGUAUCCAGUCCAGAUAAAAUAGACACAGACAGCGCAAAUCAACAUGCCUGUAUCAUUUUCCCCUCGGAUUCCUUUCUUGUCUCAAAUCUAUCCUCUUAAUAUGCAGCCGAUAUUGUUUCAAGAUGGACUCCAUCAUCGAGAUAUGCUCCCCAUGUACAAAAAGAGUGUUUUUAUGCUAAAUUUGCAAGAUGGGUUCAGUCUUUUUUUAUAUGUAGUGCUAUAUUAAACCAACAGAGGGCAGGAGUAUACAGACACACAACCCCACACCACCAAUUUCUCAAUGACUAGUGGGAAAAUAACUCUAUCUCUACCUACCACAAUGAGCACACAAAUAGGUCAAGUAUGAUCUAUCCAAGCAAGAAAUAAGCACCUAUUAUCUAAACAAACAACAAGCAAUGUCUCUUAAAAUGUUAUAACUAGCAUCUGCAUUUUUAUAAUAUAAAAGAUAAUUAUUUUUUCUGUUACUUCAUCUGAAAAAGUCAUGAUUAACCAGGUUCCCAUCCAACCAUUUGAUGCGGAUUAAUUGCCUGACACAAGAGAGAAGUCCCGACCGGACUGAUGGAAACAGGAAAUGCAGGUACGAUAUUAUAAAUGUCGACAGACAGUUUGUUUGUUAGACAUGAUAGGAUAUUUUUGUGCUGGUCAAAUUAAUUAUAUGAGAAAUGGCAGUGCACAAAUCUUUAUAUAAUAACCAUCAUAUCGAAGUAAAUUUGUGAGUCACGCGAUGAUAUGUUGCAUGGUCCUCCCACUACGAUUUGGGAAAGCCUGCAGUUAAUUAGGCUCCACAUUGAAUAAGCAGGGGCUCAACUUUGGUUUUAGAAAUGAGUUUUUUUUUUGUCAGAUAAACACUUCAAACAGCCUACCCGACUGCUUGGAGGCAUCCGCAUGCUCCUAAAGCACACGGUUGCAUCGUUUAUAUCACAUUCCAUUGAUAAAACUGUGGGUGUUGUGAAAGUUGCGCCCCUGGAAAUAAGUAAUGAUGAACUUCACAGGGUUGUGAAAGUGCACGUUUAUGAGUUUAAUGCUCCUUUCCAACAAAUAUUGAGGGUUUUAUUCUGGUGAAAUGAUGAACAAUGCUUAGCUGCCGUUUGACACAUAAAAUAAUCUCGCUCUUAUCCAUAAUAAUCUCAUCAUUGUCACGCCCUGACCUUAGUUAUCUUUGUUUUCUUUAUUAUUUGGUUAGGUCAGGGUGUGACAAGGGUGGUUUGUUUAGUUUUUGUAUUGUCUAGGGGUUUUUGUAUGUCUAGGGGUUUUCUAGUCUAGGUGUUUAUAUGUCUAUGGUUGCCUAGAUUGGUUCUCAAUCAGAGGCAGCUGUUUAUCGUUGUCUCUGAUUGGGGACCAUAUUUAGGUAACCAUAUUCCUUGGGUAUUUUGUUGGUUGUUAUUCUAUGUUUAGUUGCCUGUUCUGCACUAGCCAUAUUGCUUCACGUUUUGUUGUUUUGUUUAGUUCUGUAUAGUGUUCUCUCUUUUAUUAAAGAGUUAUGUUCGCAAACCA